CAGGACCAGGGAUGGAGCCUGCAACUGAGGAGGAGGAAUCCCACUGCCAAUAGCAUAACAAUACCUGCCAUCAGGACCAGCAGUGCCAGGACAUCGACCCACUCCAUAGGCUGCAGGUGUUGGGGUUGCCAAGGGAGACAAGACUCACACAGGCACCGGAUGGAGCAACACUUGACUCACCUAGAGAACAGAAAGAGCAAGAUCAGCUUCAAUAAGACGCCCGGAGGUGGGCAGAGAGUUUGCAGCGGCUACAGGCCGACGAAGCCGGAGCAGCAGACCGACUGCGGGCGGCUGGGAACCAGGCGGAGGGAACCAGGACACCGCGCAGCGACGCGCGGGAAGGGCUGCGGCCCCGUCCCUUCUCUGGAGCUCGCGUCUCUCUGACUCAAGCACGACCCCUGGAGGCAAAUAGGCCGCGGCACCUCGCAGCGUUAUGCGCCUUCAGAAUCCGUCUCUACUGCAAGGUUUGCCUCAUUUUCCGCCUUGGAAAAAAGAGCGCAGUUCCGGAGUAGGGACUCCAGGAGAGUUCUGGGAAAUGGAGUCUCGGUCAAGAGGAUUCUGGGAGUCGUAGUUCAUGCUGCUCAUUGCGCAUGCGCAUUUCCGUUUUUACAGCA